rnacentral:misc_RNA from 1 species
GAUGAAGAACGUAGUGAAAUGCGAUACUUGGUGUGAAUUGCAGAAUCCCGUGAACCAUCGAGUCUUUGAACGCAAGUUGCGCCCGAAGCCACUAGGCCGGGGCACGCCUGCCUGGGCGUCACACGCCGUUGCCCCCCCAUCUACUCCUUCGGGAUUGCGGGGGGGCGGAUGAUGGCCUCCUGUGCGCCUAGCCGCGCGGUUGGCAUAAAUACCAAGUCCUCGGCGACGCACGCCACGACAAUCGGUGGUUGCGAAACCUCGGUUGCCCGUCGUGUGCGUUCGUCGCGCAUCGAGGGCUCGAAAAAAUGCUCGGCUCCGACUGGGCUUUCAACGCGACCCCAGGUCAGGCGGGGUUACCCGCUGAAUUUAAGCAUAUCAAUAAGCGGAGGA